rnacentral:rRNA from 1 species
CCUACGGGAGGCAGCAGUGGGGAAUAUUGGGCAAUGGGCGCAAGCCUGACCCAGCAACGCCGCGUGAAGGAAGAAGGCUUUCGGGUUGUAAACUUCUUUUGUCAGGGAAGCAUAGCACACGGUACCUAACGAAUAAGCCACUGCUAACUACGUGCCAGCAGCCCCGGUAAUACGGAGGUGGCACGCGUUGUCCGGAUUUACUGGGGGUAACGGGCGUGUAGCCGGGUUGACAAGGCAGAUGGGAAAUCCUGGGGCUUAACCGCAGAACUGCAUUUGAAACUGUUGAUCUUGAGUACUGGAGAGGCAGAUGGAAUGCCUAGUGUAGCGGUGAAAUGCGUAGAUAUUAGGAGGAACACCAGUGGCGAAGGCGGUCUGCUGGACAGCAACUGACGGUGAGGCGCGAAAGCGUGGGGAGCAAACAGGAUUAGAUACCCCUGUAGUC